rnacentral:lncRNA from 10 species
UGAGUAGCUGGGAUUACAGGCAACCACCACCACGUCCAGCUAAUUUUUUGUAUUUUUAGUAGAGACGGGGUUUCACCAUGUUGGCCAGGCUGGUGUCAAACUCCUGACCUUGGGCAAUCCACCCACCUCAGCCUCCCAAAGUGCUGGGAUUAAAGGCGUGAGCCACUGCACCUGGCCUAAAAAAUUUUUUAAAUAAGUAAUGGCUGUCUGGACAGGAUUUGUGAGGAUCAUCAUCUUAAAUAACGUUUUAAAAGUGUGUGUGUGUGUGUGUGUGUGUGUGUGUGUGUGUGUGUGUGUGUGUAUGGAGGCUGGGGUGGGGGAUGGGACAGUGGAGGGAACCAGCCAGGCAUUAUUUCCGAUUUCAAGAGAUGCAGAAAGAAGCCUCAGAGCUUCCCUUAUCUGAUUAAAAGCAGCAACUGCUGAGAAAUGAGGCUGCCAUAAAUUCUCUUUUGGCAGGUCUACUCCCAGAAAGAAAAGCAAGAAUACACCUGUUAUAAAUCCCCUCUCUGGUAUAGUUUCAUGGCCAUGAAGAAGAGGGAAAGAACACUGCACUUGCAGAAACAUAUAUCAUUAUGAAAUUUUGUAUCUUCUUUUUGUUCCCCUAAAAAUCCACUUAUUCUUCUUCCCUUAAGAAAUCUAUUUGCGGCCAGGUCUGGUGGCUCACACCUAUAAUCCCAGCAAUUUGGGAGGCCGAGGUGGGCAGGUCAUUUGAGGUCAGGAGUUCAAGGCCAGCCUGGCCAACAUGAUGAAACCCCUUCUCUACUAAAAAAUACAAAAAUUAGCCGGGCGUGGUGGCACGUGCCUGUAAUCCCAGGUACUUUGGAGGCUGAGGCAGGAGAAUCACUUGAACCCAGGAGGUGAAGGUUGCAGUGGGCCGAGAUCACACCACUGCAACUCCAGCCUGGGCGACAAAGCAAGACUCCAUCUCAAAAAAAAAAAGAAAGAAAGAAACCUAUUUGCUCCUGUCUUAGAAUAAAUUUCUUCCCCCUCCCUUUCCUCCACUCGUUAGGUAUGCUGUAUAAGCCUCAAACUUUAUACAAUUAGAGAGCUGAAUUCUUACAUUAACUUGUCUUUUGUCAUUUUAAUCUACAGCCCCCCCCCCACAAUGAACCUAAAAGGAUAGAGAAAAAUAUUUUCUUUCCUGAUAAAUCUGGUGUAAGAAUUGUUGAAUGAAGAAAUACAAAGAUUGAGUGAGGCAUGGGGAGGUUCUGAGAUAAUGAUUUAGUUAAUGAUGCUUCUAAGAUAUGAAUAAUUGAAACAGUGGUGGUAGCUUUGACACUCCAUUGCAAGUCUAGCCAAGCCAAUUAAAAAACAAGAGUCUUAAAUUUUUCUUCCACUAAAUUUAAACAAAUCACAGCUCUACUUAAUGCUUUUAAUGUUAUUUUUUAUUAAGACAACAUAAUUUAUUAAAUACUAGUGGCAAGGGAGGGAAUUUUCAGUAGUAGGUCACAUACUAUAAGAACCCUUUGAAUAUGAUAGAACCAUUCAGCAACUCAGGAAAAUAGAUACUAUUAUGACUUUUUCACACAUUAGUCACUACUAUUCAGAGCAAGAAGUAACCUUCCCAAACCUGUCAACUAGCAGGAAAUGAAGCUCCAAAGCCCAUCCAUCCUUCUCACACAGAUAGAAAAGUUCCCUUGAGAGCAGUAAGCCGGGAAAGCUUUCCACACUCAUGAAGUCCUCUAUAAAUUCACUGUAAUACUGAUGGUUUUUCAAUCAGAAAAAACCAAACAUCUAGAUUUGUUAAUGCUUCACUUUGCUUCAUCAUUUGGGUAGGUUUUACAUCUCUUCCGUUCAACACACUGGAAAGGACAAUCAAAAUCUGCCAUGCCCUUCACCCCGAGAAAGUCUCCACCCAGACCCUGGAGCCUGAAAGUUCUUGGGAUUUUCUUGUCUCAUCAUUCACAUGGCUGUGACAAUAUUCUACACUCCUGUGAUGCCCUGUAGCCCUACCCAGACUCCAGCGUUUUUACUUCCAUUACUCCCACCCCGGAGCCCCCACAGUGAGUGCUCUAAGACCCAUUUAUAAAUGCCUCUUUCUUCCAGGGUCCAUCUGAACCUCAGGGUCCUCUAGGAUACCCAGGACCUCGAGGGUUAAGGUAACCGACCUCCUGGCUGGGGAUAAAGGAAUGUGUUCAGGGGAGCAAGAUGGGGUCUCAAGAGUUUGGUCUUUUUAACCCACCUCUAUCCCCUCACCACUCUACCUCUGUUCACCUCUAAGUCCAGGGUAGAGAUGGAAUUCGGAGUCUGAAGGGCCAUGAGGGUGCAAAGGUGAGCACCGUGCCCCCAGCUUCCCAGCACCUCACUCCUGCCUGCCCCAUGCUACCCUCUAGCUCCUGAGCCCACCCUUCCAGCCAUGUUCUCAGAAUCCUACAUUAGAACCCCCAGCCCUCUCUCAUCUGUGGGGUCCUCUCACCUCCGUCUUUCUCAAGGGAGAACGACUGUCUUGGAUUCAAAGGUGACAUGUGUGAAGGAUAUCAGGUUGAGUGAAGACCUCACGCUGGCCCCUACUCCGUGUCCUAAUGAUGCACUCUGGAGCCCCCAAGCACCAGUUCAUUCCCUGGAGGCCCUGGGCUCCCCAGUGCUGUGCAUCCUUGGGGGCCUGAUCCCUGCAGGACUGUAACCCCAUGGUCUGCAACACGCUGGCCAUGGAUGACGACACUAUUCAUACCCUUCAGCGUUCCCUGUCCCGCAAUAGCUCCUGGGAUCUACCAGCCCCACUCAGCCUCUCUGGUGACUGCUUCUCCUCUGGGCUCAGACCUCAUCCCCAGACCCCAACGCUCACCUCUCCCACCCUCUCCCUCCCUGACUGUGCUUCCUCCACAGGGAACAUCGGGUGGUGAUGGCCUCCAUGAUCCCCCAGAGAAAGGGUGUGACUUGAGUGCCUUCUUCCUCUGUGCUCCCCAGGGAGCAGCAGCAUCAGAGUGCUCCCAGGGUGCCAAAGGGACACACUGGACCAACUGGAGACCCUGGGCCCCCUGGAUUCACAGCUGACAAUGGAUUGAGGUGGGUAUAGAAGAAGUCAAGGAAAAGCCCCUGUCAUGAAGAGUUGGAUGGAGACAGGCACAGAGUGGCCGCAGGUCCAAGCAGAGUGAACAUGCGUCCAAACUGGCAGUGGCAGCCCCUAGAAGGGAGACACCAACAGCACCGAGAUCUGUGGUCUCCAGAGCUGACAUCUCCUGCACUUGCCACGUGCAGGCGCUGUGCGGGACCUCCUCUCCAUCCUGUGAGGUGGGUGUGGACAGUCCUAUUUUGCAGGUGAGGCUUUGCAGAGGCACAAGCAGGCCAAGUCAUCACAGGGUCAUCAAAUGGCAGGGCAGGAACUGAGCCACAGUGGUUGAGCUGCAGAAUCACUGCUCCCAACCCCCUGCUCCACAGCUGCCUGGGCUGGAUGAGCCCUGGAGCAGCAGGAGGCAUACAGGGGAGCUGGGUGCUGCACCGCAUGGGCAAAGGGCCGGAGACGUGUGGGGAAACUAGUCCUGGUGAAGCAAGAGUGGGUGCUGGGGCAGAUGGAGCUGAGGGUGGCAGAUGGGCAGCAACUGGAUCACAGCAACCUUGAAGGACUUGACGGAGCUGCAGGCACAGGGAUGUCAGAUCCCAGCACUAGAGUUGGAGAAAAUUCACUCUUAGGAAGAAGGAGACUGGGUGUGCUGGCUCCUUCCUCACCCCAGGGAGGAAGCUGAGUUCCCCUGCCCAGCACCUGCCCCAUUCUCCUGACUCUGUCUACCUCUGUCUCUAGGGUCUCCCUGAACUCAGGGUCCCAAUGGAUUUCCUGGCCCCAAAGAGCCCCUGGGCACCCUGGGAAUGACAAGCUGCCGGGACACUCAGGCCAGAGAGGAAAGGUGGUGAGGGAGACCCCUGGCCACCAAUUCUCAGGAGGCCCCUCAAAUGCCAAAGCUGUCUGGGAGGCCCACAGAGACAUUUUCUGAGCAGAACAGAGCCUGCCCUAAUGCUGUCCACACCCACGGGCCGAGGCUUGAUGUGACCUUGUUCCUCUUCUGGAGCCCAGGCAUCUACCCUACAGCACCCACUGCACUCCCCCCUUUUCCUCUCAGGGUUUCCAAGGGGAGAGCAGCCCCCGUGGCCCCCCAUAUGUGGUGGGACCUCAGCUAGGUCUGUUCCCAGGAGAGAACGGCUCCCAGACCCUGGAGUUAAGUCUGUCUGGCUCUCUUCUCUCAGUCACACACCCCUGCCUCUGGCUCGCAUGUCUGGAACAGGUAGCUGGGGACUUGAGGGGGCUCAGAAAUCUCUCUUUUUAAUUUGGCAGCACGGAUGGCUGUCGCUCCUCACCUCUCCUUUUCUUUUAGGGUGUCCAUGGGGUUCAAGGGAAGGAUGUUCCUGGUCUGAGGGGCUUCCCAGGAGAGAGAGGCCUCCUAGGCACUGCUGGUUCCCCCCUAGGGAGUGAGGUGCAGCAGGAUCAAGGGACCCAUUGCCCCCCGCCAGGGUGCCCAGGCCCUCAGGAACCCCCUGGAUCAGCAGGAGAGACAGGUGUCCCAGGUGAAAAGGGCCCCAUUUGUCUGCCUGGCUGUGAUAGGGUGCAGAGUCCUGUGUGACUUCCUGGUCCUGCUGGGCCUCCAGGUGUGGCUGGAGAAGAUGGAGACCAAGAGGAGAACCCCAGAGAACCCGACCAAUCUUCUCUCCACAUGAGAGGGCUGAGGGCCCUCCUGGACCCCCUGGACUCACUGGUCCAUGGAACAGCCUGUAGCAGUGGGAGCAGAUUGGGAGCCCAGAGCUCAGGGACCCCAGGGACACUUUGGAGCCAGAGUGUGGGGAGCCAAAGGCAAUAAAGGGACUACCUGGACCCAGUGGCACUGGUGUGAGUCAUCCCAGCCCCUGCCACUUCAGAGCAAUGAGGUCCACAAGAUCCCCUGGGAGGUGUUGGGGCCCUGGGUCCCCCUGGAGAGAAGGUAAUUGGGAAAGGGAUGAAGGGGACCAGUCUUGUGGAUGAGGAAUGACAGUUGGAUUUCUGCCAAUUUUUUGUUGAGGAGACAAAAGAGAAUAAAAUGUGAGAAAUACCAGGAUUUUGUGAGGGGGCAAUGAGGUUUUUGACCCCAAUCUCUUUGCUCCUGGAGCCAGGAGAGUCAGGAUCUCCAGGAAUCCAGGGUGAGCCGGGUGUCAGGUGAGUGACAGCUCCAGGGCCCUGCUUCAGAAUUCCCUUCACCCCUCUCAGCUGCACCCCCCCUCUUUUCCUGUGACUUCCUUGAGUUGUAGCUCCUCUGCGGCCAGGAGUCUCUGCUCCCAACCAUCCUUGGAGUGAGGCUUUCCACCCUGUCCUUGAACGGAAGGGGACCAGGGGACUCCCCUUAUAGGCUAGACUUUCUAUGUGUAUCCCAUUGUCCUCAAGGGCAGUAGGGAGUGACUAAAGGUGUCUUGGAAGCAGGGGCUGCAUCCCUGUUCUUCAAGACCCUCUGUGCCCUCCACUUGUUCUGCAGGGUACACAUGGGGAGUGUGGGGGGAAAGGAGAGUCAGGGCAGCCAAGUUUCUGGGAAUAUGGGUAUCUGUGAGUAAGGAUCUUGGACUGUGGGGAGCCUGGGAAUGGGGGGAUGCCUGGGAGGGAGGCUCUGGGAAUGGGGUAUCCUGGGAGGAUGCAUGGGAUCUGGAGUCCAGAGAGAAAGUGAGAGAUACCCUGUGGCUAAUACCAUAAGGCAUUAGACAGCAUGAAGUGCUCGAGGUGGGGAUAGGGGUGCAGAGACCUUCUUCCUAGGGAGGUGCCAACAGAUGAGCCUGUAGGGAGGAAGAGGGUCUCAUAUGCCUGUGGGAGUCUGUGUUGGGUGGGCUUAUGGGGCUGUGACCCUGACUCUUGUUCUCCCUCUGGAUUAGGGUCUUGGUUUUCCUGGAGACCCUGGCCCCCCAGGAGAAGGUGGCUCAUGACCAGGACAGUGUUAACGGUGACUAUGGCAAGGAUGGUGAGCCAGUACAGCCCGUGAGUGACCAAUGUCCCUGCCACCCCCACUGAGCUCCAGCCUUCAGCCCCUUACCCCUCUUUUCUGUGCCCUACUCCUGAGGGGUCCCUUAGCUGGAGGCCAACACUCACCCACCCCAAUUCCUCUCAUUCUGUGGAUCCUCUGGUCCCACUGGGGAGAAUGGACUACCUGGACCACAUGGAAAGCAGGUAAGUGAGGUAGAAGACCCUGGGACCUUGGGAGGUAGUCGCUGGGAAAUGUGGGUAGAGGCUGGGUGGUGACAGGUGGCACUGACAGGGAGAUGCCUGGUGUCUGUGCUGUCCCUGGAUGUGGUGUGUUGCAUGAGCACAUGGGUUUAUGAGUGUGUUGUGUCUCGGGCAUGUUGCUCCUGGGUUUUUGUGAGCAUGUUCUCACCAGGGCUGGUUACAUGUACUGGCCAAUCAGAAUGGACACUGGAGGAGGGGCUGGCCGGCUUCUCUGCUGGGUCAGGGAUUAACCUGGGCCACUGGGUGGGGCGUGGUUAAGGGGUUCUUCCCCAAGCAUCCAUGCUCCUCAGCAUUUUCACAACGGACACAGCUCCAUCUGUUCUGAACUCACACUCUGCUUCUGUGCCUGUGUGUGCAGUGUGUGCAUGCAGUGUGUGCAUGCAGGGUGUGCAUGUGUGUGUGUGUGGAGUAUGUGUGCAUGUGUAGCACAGGAAGGGGAAGAGUGGAGCCUGGCUGUUCAGGACCUCAAGUUUUCUCCCUUCCUGUCCCAUCUGCAGGGUCAGCUAAGAAUAGCCAUGACUCAAGGGUCAGCUAAGAAUAGUCAUGACUCAAGGGUCAUUUAGGACACAGGAAGAUACCAGAUGAGGAAACUCUCCCCAAGUCCUAAACUCAUUCACAAAUUAGAACACAUAGGUCCAGCCCAGGCACAGUGGCUGAAGCCUGGAAUCCUCCCGCUUCCUGCUUCGGGAGACCAAGGCAAGAGGAUCUCUCGAAGUGUGAGUUGGAGGCCAGCUUGGGCGACACAAUCAGGAAAAGCAAGUGGCCACCAGGUGGCGCCCAAGAACUGGGCCCGAGUUCCCUGGGAGGAAUCUGCACGCAGCCCUGGGAUGGCACAGGGAUGCCUCACGGGACACCUGGCCUCGUCCUGGUAGCCCCUUGCUUGCAUUUCCCGGCCCUGGGGUGUCCUCCCCGACUGCACAUGCAUGUAGACCCUGCUGUGCUGCCUGGGACCAGGAGGCCCGGCUGCCUUCUCCCAGCACCUCUCCCAGUUAGGGUACUGUGCAGGAAAUGGGUGCAGAGGCCAUAGUGGUGGCUGCUCCUGGGGUCCCAGCAGCUCUAGCUGAGGCAGGAGGAACCAGGGAGCCCAGGAGGCUGAGGCCCCUGUCCUACUGCUCUGGUCGUGCUGCAGUCUCUGUCACCACCAACAACUGCAGUGAGGUGAGCCACUGGGCUGCAGGCUCUAGCCUCCAGCCUGUGACAGAUGCCUCCUCUUUCUGACUCCUCCUGUAGCAGGGCACGGAGAAGCUCUCGCUCAUCGCUGCCUCCUACCACUCCGAACAUGCUGCAGUCUCGUUGACCACGCUGCAGUCUUGGUGGCCACCACCAACUGCAGGGAGCCUGGCCAGGUGCCGCAAGUUGCAGCCUCCACCUCCUCCUCUAAGUCGGGCUUGGAGCAGCAGCGGGAGCAGUCACAGAAGAGGCUGGAAUGGUGGAAUGCACCCUCAGUAUGCAUUAUAUAUAGAGGUUUCGGCAAUGAGGGCCUGGACUUUGUGUUCUGAUUGGAUGGGGGAAACCUCUAGGCUUUAUCUUCAUGCCCUGAUUGGUUAUCCUAAGAGUUGCUCUCAUCCAGUCUUCUUUAUAAGUGGUCAUCUUUGUAAGUUCAUGCCCACUGGGAGUUACUGAAGUUGUGAAUGAUUACAUUUAAACUUAUCCUGUAAUUUUAGUCUGAUUUAUUAAUUCCACCUAUCUCCUUAAGCAAAUUAUUCUCUAUAGUGAUGACCCAAGCAAAUUCCUGUCCCAAGAUGGUAUCAAGAUGAUACCCAAGUUCCUCUCCAGAAUGGUAUCUGGAUAUAUGUGGAGGGAAAUAUUUUUUCUAGGCCUGUAUUAAAUAUGGCACUAAAGCUUAGUGGCUUAAAACAAUACACUGUUAUUAUCUCACAGCUUCUGUGAAUAAGUAGUUCAGGAGAGUGUAGCUGGGUGAUUCUUGCCAAGAGUCUCAUAAGGUUGCAGUCAAUCUGUUGGUGAGAAUUGUAGUUACUUGAAGACUUGGAGUUGAAGAAUUUAUAUCAAAGAUGGCUUACUUAUGGCAAUUGGAUGGAAGCCCCAGUUUCAGAAUGGCUGCUGGCAACAGGUCUUUUUACUUGCCACAUGGACCUCUCCAUAGGCUGACUGAAUGUCCUCCCAAUGUGUCAUCUGGCUUUCUCCAGUGCAAAAGAUCAAAGAAGAGAGUAUGAAGGAACCCGUAAUGCUCUUUAUAAUUUUGUCACAGACCGUCACUUCUGCCAUACUCUAUUGUUUAGAAGUUAGUCAUUAAGUCCAGCCCACACUCAAAAGAACGAGAAUUAACCUCCACCUUUGGAAGAGAGGCUAGUCAAAGCACUUGUGGACAUGUUUUGAAACCACAAAGGGGUAUGGCUGCCAGUCUCCAAGAUGGCCGCCAGUGAUUCUCAUCAGCUGUUAUUAAUACAUUUGUAUAGUCCCUUCCCACAAGAAAAAAGAGUUGAUCUGUUUAAUUAGUAUUAUUUUGUUGAAAUGACAGAGUCUGACUUGCAAGUUUAGGUCAUAAGAAGAAUUUUGACUUCUGCCUUAUUCUCUAUUGGAUCAAUAUCCCUAGGGGAAGCUAGAUGCAAUGUCAUGAAAUCAUUCAAACAGUCCCAUGGAACAAUCCAUCUAGCAAGGAACUGAUAUCUCCUAGCAAUAGCUGGCAUUAACUUACAAGUCGUAUGAGUGGGCCAUCUUAGAAUUGGAUUCUUCAGUCCAAAUCAAGUCUUCAGAUAACUGUAGCCCUGGCUGACAUCUUGAUUACAUCCUCAAGAGAGACCCUGAGCCAGAAUCACUCAGUUAAGCCACUGAGUUCUUUUUGCCAAAAACUUUUUUUUUACCAAGUUCUUUUUGCCACCAACUUUAUUGAGGUAUAAUUGACAAUUAAGAUUGUAUAUAUUUAAGGAAUACAACUUGAUGAUUUGAUAUACACAUACAUUGUGAAAUAAUCGUGAUAAUUAGGUUAACAUAUUCAUUACUUCACAUAAGUACCAUUUUCGUGUGUGUGUGUGUGUGUGUGUGUGUGUGUGUGUGUGUGUGUGGUGAGAACACAUGAGAUGUAUCCUCUUAGAAAAUUUCAAGUAUACAAUAUAUUAUUGUUAACUACAGUCAUAUUAUUGUAUACUAUGUCUCCAGAACUUAUUCACCUUGCGUAACUGAGAUGCUGUACCCUUGACCAAUGUCUCCCCCUUUUCUUCUCCCUCCAGCCCCUGGUAACUACCCUUCUACUUUCCAGUUCUAUACAUUUGACUCUUUUAGAUUCCACACAUAAGUCAAAUUUUUGACCCUUAGGAGCUGGGUGAAUAAUAAAUAUUUAUUGUUAUUUUCAGCCUUAUGAUUUUAAGUUAAUUUGUUAUGCAGUAAUAGAAGUUGCCACAUGAAGCUAUGACACUGGUUAACUCAUUUAUUCAGUAAACAUUUGCUAAGAGCAGACUAAGUGCCAGGAUCAAUUUUAUAAUUGGGGGUACAGGGUUAAGUCAAAAUGGCAGACUAGAAGCAGAUCAUGUGCACUGCUGUCAUGGAGAGGAAACAAAAUGGCUAGUGAACACUGAUCUUGCCAUGUGAUCCCCUAAGAAACCACAUCAGCAUCCAUGAAGGCAGCAAGGGGACACAGAGAGGAGAGAGGAGUGAAGCUGAGCAGCCCAUCUGUGAUCAGCAUGGAGCUAGAAGAAGCUCCCAAACAUAGGGAAAGAGUAAGUGAUUGAGAGCCCCUGGGGGAUUCACAGUCUUCACAGGGACCUGUGCAAGCCUUGGAACAGGAGAAUCUCUUUGACCCACUCCCUGCACCUCUAAGCCAAUGCAGAGAGCCACCCAGAGUUUUGUGGAGGCAACUCUCAAGUCCCUAGGGACUGCUGGAAGCCUUGGACCCUGGAACAGACCAGCACCAGUGCCAUAGCCCCAACAGAGGCUGCAGUCAUGGUACCCGAGGGCAGUAAGAUUGCUCCACCCCAAAUCACUAGACAAAGUUCAGCACCAGCCUCUGGCCCAAUGGUCCUGCUUCUGUUUUCACUUCACCAACAGGUUCAGCCUCCUGUUCCUCCAGGAAACACCCAAACAACAGGAUAGGCAACUUCACCCAAUCCCUGCCAGUUGUAGCCAGGCAGGCCAUACCUGCUAGAGCUUCCAGCCCCGUGGUACCACUUCUGUCUGAAUUCUGCUGACAAGCACAGUCUCUUGUUCUCCUAGGAAACACCUUAAUGGCAUGGUGAGUGACUCCACCCACUGCCACUGCUCAAGGCCAGCAGCCCACACCUGCUAGAGUUUCCAGCCCAACAGUCCUGCUUUUAUAUGAACUCUGCAGGUGGGGGCAACUCCAUGUUCCCCUGGGAAGCAGCUGGACAGCAGAUUAGGUGACCCCACUCAUCCCUGCAACUCCUAGCCAAGCAGUUCUUGCUGGCUUGGGUGGUGCCCAAGCAGUGGGGGAGUCCUCACUCUUGCAUCACUAAAAGAAGUGAGAUGCCCAAGUUCACAGGUCAGUGGAGGAGUGGGUUGUGCCUCCCUCUGUACAGCCAUUCCGGAAAGGAUAUGACCUGUUUGCCAACUGUGGCCCCUGCAUGAGGAAGCCCCAUGGACGAGAACACCUAAUAAAAGAAAUACAGGCAUGGAGUCAGUGAUCAGAGGGGGCUCUUCCAAGGCUUAGGGGUGGACAAGGUGAGGGGGUCAUCUCUACCCCACCCCCUAAAAAGCACUAUGCUAACUUGAGGAAAACACAAAAGAGCUGUGCAGCUGAGAAAAGCCUAUCUGCCUGUCCGCUGGCUAACACUUUUAAGUGCCACCUACUGGAUCACAGCAGAAAAUACAAUACAAAAAUAUUUUGCCAGUACACAGCACCUGUGAAAACUAAGGCAAAGAUUAAGCAACAAAUAAACAUUCUGUACAUACUCGUGACCCUCUGAAAACACCCUAAAAAGAAGCCAACUGACUGUACUCAACUUACAUCACAGUUAAAGGAACACUAACCCUUACACAUGAAAAAGAAUCGAUGCAAAAACUCUGGCAACUCAAAAAGCCAGUGUGCCCCCUUACCUACAAACAAACACACUAGUCCCCCAGAAAUGGUUCUUAGCCAGAUUGAGAUGACUGAAAUGAUGGAAAUAAAAUUCAAGAUCUGGAUGGCAAGGAAGAUCGAUGGGAUCAAAGAGAAAGUUGAAUCCAAGGAACCCAGUAAAACAAUCCAGGAGCUGAAGGAUUAAACAGCCAUUUUAAGAAAGAACCAGCUGGGUGUGAUGGCUCACGCCUGUAAUCCCAGCACUUUGGGAGGCCAAGGCGAGUGGACUACUUGAGGUUAGGAGUUUGAGACCAGCCUGGCCAACAUGAUGAAACCCUGUCUCUACUAAAAUACAAAAAUUAGCUGGGCGUGGUGGCACACAUCUGUAAUCUCAGCUACUUGGGAGGCUGAGGCAGGAGAAUCACUUGAACCCGGGAGGUGGAGGUUGCACAGGCUGGAGUGCAGUGGCACGAUCUCGGCUCACUGCAAGCUCUGCCUCCCAGGUUCCCACCAUUCUCCUGCCUCAGCCUCCCGAGUAGCUGGGACUACAGGUGCCCGCCACCACGCCCAGCAAAUUUUUUGUAUUUUUAGUAGAGACGGAGUUUCACCAUGUAAGCUAUGAUAGUCUCCAUCUCCCGACCUCGUGAUCCGCCUGCCUUGGCCUCCGAAAGUGCUGGGAUUACAGGUGUGAUGGCUCACGCCCAGCAUUUUUUUUUUUUUUUUUUGAGACAAAGUCUCGCUCUGUUGCCCAGGCUGGAGUGUAAUGGCACAAUCUCGGCUCACUGCAACCUCCCCCUCCCAGGUUCAAGCAAUUAUCCUGCCUCAGCCUCCUGAGUGGCUGGGAUUAUAGGCACCCACCACCAUGCCCAGCUAAUUGUUGUAAUUUUAGUAGAGAUGAGGUCUCACCAUCUUGGUUCGGCUGGUCUCAAACUCCUGACCUCAGGUGAUCCACCCACUUCAGCUUCCCAAAGUACUGGGAUUACAGGAGUGAGCCACCAUGCCCAGCCCCACAAAAAUUUUUAAAAAAGAAUUAAAAAGUGAAUAAAAUCUUUUGAGAAAUAUAGGACUAUGUAAAAAGACCAAACCUACAUUUCAUUGGCAUUCCCAAAAGAGAAGUAACUUGGAGAAUAUAUUUGAAGACAUAGUCCAUGAAAAAUUUCCCAAACUUGAUAGAGAGGGGAACAUACAAAUUCAAAAAAUACAGACAACCCUACAGAUACUACACAAGAUGACCAUCCCCAAGGCACAUAGUCAUCAGAUUCACCAAAGUCAAAGUAAAAGAAAGACAUCUUAAAGGCAGCUAGAGAGAAAGGUCAGGUCAUCUGUAAAGGGAACCCCAUCAGGCUAGCAGUAGACGUUGCAACAGAAACUUUACAAGACAGAGGAGAAUCAAGGUUUAUUUUCAGCAUUCUUAAAGAAAAUAAUUUCCAAGCAAGAAUAUUGUGUCCCACCAAACUAAGCUUCAUAAGUGAAGGAGAAAUAAAAUACUUUUCAGAUAAGCAAGUACUUAAAGGAGUGCUAAACAUGAAAACAAAGAACUGAAACAUGCUCCUUCAAAAACACACUCAAGGACAUAGCCUACAGAGAAUGUAAAGCCACCACACCACUAAGUCUACAAAAUAAACAGCCAACAACAUAAUGACAAGAUCAAAAUCUCAUAUAUCAAUACUAACCCAGAAUGUAAAUGGUCUAAAUGCCCGACUUAAAAGGGAUAGCAUGUCAAGUUGGACAAAAAGACAAGCCCCGAUAGUCUGCUGUCUUCAAGACACCCAUCUCUCGUGUGAAGAUACUCACACGUUCAAAGUAAAAGUAUAGAGUAGAUCUACCAAGCAAACAGAAAACAAAAAAGAGCAGGAGUCAUUAUUUUUAUAGCAGAUAAAACAGAUUUUAAACCAACAACAAUCAGGAAGGAUAAAGAAGAGCAGUACAUGAUGAUAAAAGGUUUAAUUCAACAAGAAGACCUGACCAUUCUAAACAUACACGUACCCAAUAUAGGAGCACCCAGAUUCAUAAAACAAAUUUUUCUUGACUAACAAAAAGACUUAGACAGUCACACAAUAAUAGUGGGGGACCUUAACACCCCACUGGCAGUGUUAGAUCAUCAAGGCUGAAAACUAACAAAGAAAAUCUGGGCUUAAACUCGACAUGUGACCAAUUGAACCUAAUAGAUAUCUACAGAG